rnacentral:rRNA from 1 species
UCCGGUUGAUCCUGCCAGAGGCCGCUGCUAUCCGGCUGGGACUAAGCCAUGCUAGUCUAGGGGCUUGUACCCCUUCGGGGGUGCAAGCACCGGCGGACGGCUCAGUAACACGUGGACAACCUGCCCUCGGGUGGGGGAUAACCCCGGGAAACUGGGGCUAAUCCCCCAUAGGUGAUGGGUGCUGGAAUGCCCCAUCUCCGAAAGCGCUCAGCGCCCGAGGAUGGGUCUGCGGCGGAUUAGGUAGUUGGUGGGGUAACGGCCCACCAAGCCUAAGAUCCGUACGGGCUGUGGGAGCAGGAGCCCGGAGAUGGACCCUGAGACAAGGGUCCAGGCCCUACGGGGCGCAGCAGGCGCGAAACCUCCGCAAUGCGGGAAACCGCGACGGGGUUAGCCGGAGUGCCCGUGCAUUGCACGGGCUGUCGGGGUGCCUAAACAGCACCCCAUAGCAAGGGCCGGGCAAGGCCGGUGGCAGCCGCCGCGGUAAGACCGGCGGCCCGAGUGGCGGCCACUCUUAUUGGGCCUAAAGCGUCCGUAGCCGGCCCAGUAAGUCCCCCGGGAAAUCUGGUCACUUAACGAUCAGACUUCCGGGGGAUACUGCUGGGCUAGGGACCGGGAGAGGCCGAGGGUAUUCCCGGGGUAGGGGUGA